AAAGAGGAGGAAAAAUCUCAGGAACUUUUAGAAUAAGAUUGAAGUAACCAUCUCAUAUGGAGCAGCAUCUGUUCCUAUGAUAUAGCUGAACAAUCCAACGGGACCGGGACUUCCCUGCUGUGAUAGAAGCCGGACGCGAGGGGAUCGCCUUCAGAC